rnacentral:rRNA from 1 species
UCAGUAGGGGUUCUGAGAGGAAGGUCCCCCACAUUGGAACUGAGACACGGUCCAAACUCCUACGGGAGGCAGCAGUGAGGAAUAUUGGUCAAUGGGCGAGAGCCUGAACCAGCCAAGUAGCGUGCAGGACGACGGCCCUAUGGGUUGUAAACUGCUUUUAUAAGGGAAUAAAGUGAGUCUCGUGAGACUUUUUGCAUGUACCUUAUGAAUAAGGACCGGCUAAUUCCGUGCCAGCAGCCGCGGUAAUACGGAAGGUCCGGGCGUUAUCCGGAUUUAUUGGGUUUAAAGGGAGCGUAGGCCGGAGAUUAAGCGUGUUGUGAAAUGUAGACGCUCAACGUCUGCACUGCAGCGCGAACUGGUUUCCUUGAGUACGCACAAAGUGGGCGGAAUUCGUGGUGUAGCGGUGAAAUGCUUAGAUAUCACGAAGAACUCCGAUUGCGAAGGCAGCUCACUGGAGCGCAACUGACGCUGAAGCUCGAAAGUGCGGGUAUCGAACAGGAUUAGAUACCCUGGUAGUCCGCGCGGUAAACGAUGGAUGCCCGCUGUUGGCCUGAAUAGGUCAGCGGCCAAGCGAAAGCAUUAAGCAUCCCACCUGGGGAGUACGCCGGCAACGGUGAAACUCAAAGGAAUUGACGGGGGCCCGCACAAGCGGAGGAACAUGUGGUUUAAUUCGAUGAUACGCGAGGAACCUUACCCGGGCUUGAAUUGCAGAGGAAGGAUUUGGAGACAAUGACGCCCUUCGGGGCCUCUGUGAAGGUGCUGCAUGGUUGUCGUCAGCUCGUGCCGUGAGGUGUCGGCUUAAGUGCCAUAACGAGCGCAACCCCUCUCCUUAGUUGCCAUCAGGUCAUGCUGGGCACUCUGGGGACACUGCCACCGUAAGGUGUGAGGAAGGUGGGGAUGACGUCAAAUCAGCACGGCCCUUACGUCCGGGGCUACACACGUGUUACAAUGGCAGGUACAGAGAGACGGUCCCUUGCAAAAGGGAUCAAAUCCUCAAAGCCUGUCUCAGUUCGGACUGGGGUCUGCAACCCGACCCCACGAAGCUGGAUUCGCUAGUAAUCGCGCAUCAGCCAUGGCGCGGUGAAUACGUUCCCGGGCCUUGUACACACCGCCCGUCAAGCCAUGAAAGCCGGGGGCGCCUAAAGUCCGUGACCGUAAGGAGCGGCCUAGGGCGAAACUGGUAAUUGGGGCUAAGUCGUAACAAGGUA